GACGUAGGAUGCAAGCGUUAUCCGGAAUUAUUGGGCGUAAAGCGUACGUAGGCGGUUUCUUAAGUCUGGGGUUAAAGACCGAAGCUCAACUUCGGGAGUGCCCUGGAAACUGGGAGACUGGAGGACGGCAGAGGAAAGUGGAAUUCCCAGUGUAGCGGUGAAAUGCGUAGAUAUUGGGAGGAACACCAGUGGCGAAAGCGACUUUCUGGGCCGUUCCUGACGCUGAGGUACGAAAGCCAGGGGAGCAAACGGG
rnacentral:rRNA from 1 species